GUGGGGAAUAUUGGGCAAUGGGCGAAAGCCUGACCCAGCAACGCCGCGUGAAGGAAGAAGGUCUUCGGAUCGUAAACUUCUAUCCUUGGUGAAGAUAAUGACGGUAGCCGAGAAGGAAGCCCCGGCUAACUACGUGCCAGCAGCCGCGGUAAUACGUAGGGGGCAAGCGUUGUCCGGAAUGAUUGGGCGUAAAGGGCGCGUAGGCGGCCUGGUAAGUCUGGAGUGAAAGUCCUGCUUUUAAGGUGGGAAUUGCUUUGGAUACUGUCGGGCUUGAGUGCAGGAGAGGUAAGUGGAAUUCCCGGUGUAGCGGUGAAAUGCGUAGAGAUCGGGAGGAACACCAGUGGCGAAGGCGACUUACUGGACUGUAACUGACGCUGAGGCGCGAAAGCGUGGGGAGCAAACAGGAUUAGAUACCCUGGUAGUCC
rnacentral:rRNA from 1 species